rnacentral:rRNA from 1 species
UACGAAGGGGGCUAGCGUUGCUCGGAAUCACUGGGCGUAAAGGGUGCGUAGGCGGGUUUUUAAGUCAGGGGUGAAAUCCUGGAGCUCAACUCCAGAACUGCCUUUGAUACUGAGAGCUUGAGUCCGGGAGAGGUGAGUGGAACUGCGAGUGUAGAGGUGAAAUUCGUAGAUAUUCGCAAGAACACCAGUGGCGAAGGCGGCUCACUGGCCCGGUACUGACGCUGAGGUGACGAAGCGGUGGGAGCAAACAGG